rnacentral:rRNA from 1 species
GGGGAACUGAAACAUCUAAGUACCCCGAGGAAAAGAAAUCAACCGAGAUUCCCCCAGUAGCGGCGAGCGAACGGGGAGGAGCCCAGAGCCUGAAUCAGCAUGUGUGUUAGUGGAAGCGUCUGGAAAGGCGCGCGAUACAGGGUGACAGCCCCGUACACAAAAGCGCAUGUGCUGUGAGCUCGAUGAGUAGGGCGGGACACGUGGUAUCCUGUCUGAAUAUGGGGGGACCAUCCUCCAAGGCUAAAUACUCCUGACUGACCGAUAGUGAACCAGUACCGUGAGGGAAAGGCGAAAAGAACCCCGGCGAGGGGAGUGAAAAAGAACCUGAAACCGUGUACGUACAAGCAGUGGGAGCCCCACCACUAAGCCAGUGGUGAACUCCACAUACGCAUCCUUUGCUGAGGAUACGGUUAACGGAGCGAAAGCGACGUUCAACCUCAAAAGAAGCAGAGGGGGCUUAGUGGUGGGGUGACUGCGUACCUUUUGUAUAAUGGGUCAGCGACUUAUAUUCUGUAGCAAGGUUAACCGAAUAGGGGAGCCGGAGGGAAACCGAGUCUUAACCGGGCGUUAAGUUGCAGGGUAUAGACCCGAAACCCGGUGAUCUAGCCAUGGGCAGGUUGAAGGUUGGGUAACACUAACUGGAGGACCGAACCGACUAAUGUUGAAAAAUUAGCGGAUGACCUGUGGCUGGGGGUGAAAGGCCAAUCAAACCGGGAGAUAGCUGGUUCUCCCCGAAAGCUAUUUAGGUAGCGCCUCGUGAAUUCAUCUCCGGGGGUAGAGCACUGUUUCGGCUAGGGGGCCAUCCCGGCUUACCAACCCGAUGCAAACUGCGAAUACCGGAGAAUGUUAUCACGGGAGACACACGGCGGGUGCUAACGUCCGUCGUGAAGAGGGAAACAACCCAGACCGCCAGCUAAGGUCCCAAAGUCAUGGUUAAGUGGGAAACGAUGUGGGAAGGCCCAGACAGCCAGGAUGUUGGCUUAGAAGCAGCCAUCAUUUAAAGAAAGCGUAAUAGCUCACUGGUCGAGUCGGCCUGCGCGGAAGAUGUAACGGGGCUAAACCAUGCACCGAAGCUGCGGCAGCGACGCUUAUGCGUUGUUGGGUAGGGGAGCGUUCUGUAAGCCUGUGAAGGUGGCCUGUGAGGGUUGCUGGAGGUAUCAGAAGUGCGAAUGCUGACAUAAGUAACGAUAAAGCGGGUGAAAAGCCCGCUCGCCGGAAGACCAAGGGUUCCUGUCCAACGUUAAUCGGGGCAGGGUGAGUCGACCCCUAAGGCGAGGCCGAAAGGCGUAGUCGAUGGGAAACGGGUUAAUAUUCCCGUACUUGGUGUUACUGCGAAGGGGGGACGGAGAAGGCUAUGUUGGCCGGGCGACGGUUGUCCCGGUUUAAGCGUGUAGGUGUGUGUUCCAGGUAAAUCCGGUUCACUUUAACACUGAGGCGUGAUGACGAGGCACUACGGUGCUGAAGCAACAAAUGCCCUGCUUCCAGGAAAAGCCUCUAAGCAUCAGGUAACAUCAAAUCGUACCCCAAACCGACACAGGUGGUCAGGUAGAGAAUACCAAGGCGCUUGAGAGAACUCGGGUGAAGGAACUAGGCAAAAUGGUGCCGUAACUUCGGGAGAAGGCACGCUGACACGUAGGUGAAGUGAUUUACUCA